AGUGAACGUUGGCGGCGUGGAUUAGGCAUGCGAGUCGCGCGAGAAUCGUAGCAAUACGAGGAAAGCGGCGAAAGGGAGAGGAAUACGUAGAAAUCUGCCCUCGGGACUGGGAUAGCGGCGGGAAACUGCCGGUAAUACCAGAUAACGUCUUCGGACCAAAGGUGUGAUUCCGCCUGAGGAUGAGUCUACGACCUAUUAGCUUGUUGGCGGGGUAAUGGCCCACCAAGGCGACGAUGGGUAGCAGGUGUGAGAGCACGACCUGCCUCAUUGGGACUGAGACACUGCCCAGACACCUACGGGUGGCUGCAGUCGAGAAUCUUCGGCAAUGGACGAAAGUCUGACCGAGCGACGCCGCGUGCGGGAUGAAGGCCUUCGGGUUGUAAACCGCUGUCGUAGGGAACCAAAUUCACGGGGGUUCUCCCCUGUGAUUGAGAGAACCUAGGAGGAGGGAGAGGCUAAGCUCGUGCCAGCAGCCGCGGUAA
rnacentral:rRNA from 1 species